rnacentral:rRNA from 1 species
GACAGAGGGUGCAAACGUUGCUCGGAAUCACUGGGCGUAAAGGGCGUGUAGGCGGGAAGGCAAGUCAGAUGUGAAAUCCCCAGGCUCAACCUGGGAACUGCAUUUGAAACUGCCUUUCUUGAGUACCGGAGAGGAAAGUGGAAUUCCUGGUGUAGAGGUGAAAUUCGUAGAUAUCAGGAGGAACACCAGUGGCGAAGGCGGCUUUCUGGACGGUAACUGACGCUGAGACGCGAAAGCGUGGGGAGCAAACAGG